GCGCCUGUAGCUCAGGGGAUAGAGCAACGGAUUCCUAAUCCGUGUGUCGCAGGUUCGAUUCCUGCCAGGCGCACCA
rnacentral:tRNA from 1 species